CUGGCAACAAAUGGCCACAAACCGAUCAAAGGUGAAAGUGACGGUGAACCAGACCGAGCAGUCAGUGGCUGCAUAAAGCAGGACGGCGUGGAUAUUACACACGGGGACGGAGUACUCCAGGAAAUAAAACUGUUCCCAAUAAACAAUGGGAAUGUGUCUCAGGAUCAGGUCGAGGAUAAUGACCAGGAGAUCCGCCGCUGCCAUGGCCCCCAGGUAUCUGUGUUAGCUGUCUGGAUACAGAAUUGGCUGACAAGCAGAAGACAGCGAGUGAUAGUGGAAGGAAAAUAAUUUGCCUGGAAGUCUGUGGGCCAUAUAAACAUAUCUUCAAAUCGACCGAGACCAUUUUCUGCUAAGGGUAUGGCUCUGUGUAUGACAGCAGCAAUGAUGCACCGACAUGGAACAGGGAAUGUGAUGGAGACAUAGUUUGGACAAUGUACAAGGAGACCUCACAUGGUCCAGUUUGGGAGAGAAUGACAUUAUUGUGUGAUUCAACUCAGAGAGGGAGAAAACGUCAUCUACCCGAGAAGAAACGGCCUAUUGCACUCUCUCUCCUUCAUUACUCCCCAUCACAGUAACGUGUACGAGCUAAAACAAAGCUCUACUGUCAUCGUUACCAUUCUUAUUUUUGUAAAUUCCCUGCAGUGUGGAAACAAGCCCUUCGGCCCAACAAGUCCAUACUAACCCUCCAAAGAGUAACCUUCUCAUGCCCUUACAGUUACCACUGACUAUUGCACCUGAAGUAGAAAUCGCUGAACAGCAUGGUCUAUUUGACCAAUCCACUUGAAUUAUACAGCUUUGGGCGGAAACAGGAGCACCCAUCAGAAGCUCACGCAGACCAUGGGAGAAGAUGCAAACUCCACGCAGAUAGUCGCCCGAGGCUGGAAUUGAACCCAUGUCCCUGAUGCUGUGAUGGAACAGUACGAACUACUGAGCCACUGUGCUAACCUGGAACCUCCUGACUGCCUAAUGCAAAGGGAAUUCAGCCAAAUCCAACUCUCCCAGGAUAAAAUCCCAUUGCUAGCGGCUGUGUGAGUAAAUUAUCUUCAGAAGCAGAAUAACAUUUUGGACAAACUCUCAAUUUUUCCUUUUU